rfam:Ciona savignyi cont_32285, whole genome shotgun sequence.
CUCGUCGUGGCCGACUGGUAAAGGCGACAGACUACAAAUCUGUUGGGCUCUGCCCGCACAGGUGCGAAUCCUGUCGGCGACG